UACGUAGGGGGCAAGCGUUGUCCGGAUUUAUUGGGCGUAAAGAGCGUGUAGGCGGCUUUACAGGUCCGCUGUGAAAACUCGAGGCUCAACCUCGAGCUGUCGGUGGAAACCGUAAGGCUAGAGUCCUGGAGAGGAAGGUGGAAUGCUUGGUGUAGAGGUGAAAUUCGUAGAUAUCAAGCGGAACACCGGUGGCGAAGGCGGCCUUCUGGACAGUGACUGACGCUGAGACGCGAAAGCGUGGGGAGCAAACAGG
rnacentral:rRNA from 1 species